UGAAGAUCAUAGAAACAAGAAAGAAGUGAAUCAGGAACCAGCUGUGUGUAAGCUUACCAAGCGGAAGCAACCUGAAACGAAAACUGAUUUUCACAGAAAACCAGGAAGCAGUUCGAACCUUGAUAAUAGUGGAAGACUACCUGCGACAGGAUAUGGAGAAAGCUCAUGGUCGGAUUUGUCUUUACCCAGUGCAGCUAAAAUUGAUCAGGGUUCUCUAGGAAAUGACCUAUCUAAAAAUCAAGGUGAACUUAGCAAAUUCAGUACAUCAAGAGGUGGUAAAAUUGCUAACUGCUGGAAUUAUUAGUAGAUAGCUUGUCUCAUAUUUGUCUAUGCGUUUUUGUUUGUGCAGGCGUCUGUCUGCUGAUGUUUUUUUGUGCUUGCAUCCCACCGUCAUAAUAUGAAAAAUAAUGAACAUGCAUGCUAUUAUCUAUAUUUUUCCAUUCCUAAUUGUAUAAAUGUUUGACAGAAGAGACCACACAUCAUGAAAAUGAUGCUGAAUUUUUUCAAAAUGCCGACGAAGGGAAAGAACAAGGUGAUUUUAAUGAUUACGACUGGGCUAACAUAGGAAGUUUUGAUGACCUUGAUCGAAUUUUCAGGUAAAGUAGAUUAUCUAUAUUAUUCUAUAUCUGAUCUGAUACAAGCAUAUGUCUGAUAACAUUGUAGCGUUAUGAUCAUAAUUGUCUAAAAUGGACUAAACUCUCCCGUUAACCUAACUGUUGUAUUCACCAAUUUUCACAGUUGCUUACAAACGAAUCCGUCUUAGUUUAAGUCCUUCAAAUUUAUUGUAGCUGCGAUAAUAAAGUAAAAUCAUUCAAAGUGAAAAAGGGAUGAUUCUGAUGUUAAAAUUUGGAACACCUUUACUCUUUAAAAUAGGAAACAGGGCUUCAUGUUUCUAAUUUUUGAACGUUGAUGAUUGUUAGUGGGUAGUUUUACUUCCCAUUGGCUUUCUUCAUAUGUGGACGUGAUGGGAAACAUUGGUUAGAAGUACUGAAGUUCCUGAGUAACAGUAAAUAAUAGCAGACAUGCUUCUAUCCUUAUAGUUGUUAGUCUUUCUAUUUUACAACGGCAUCUAUCUGACUGAAUAUUCUCACAAGUGAUGAUUUUGCAGCAAUGGUGACCCUAUAUUUGGCCAUGCAAGUCUUGAUAAUUCUGAUGAGCUUUGGUCUGCUAAAGAUGUGAGUAACGAUCAAGCAUCAGCAUCCUUGGAUGCACCAAAUCCCGCAGAUGCUUUAAGGAAUAGAUCAGGGCAUUUUGAAAUCAAAGAAGAACACAUUCAUUGUAGUGAUCAAUCAUUUUCCCUUAGUUACGAGAAUAUUUCUGUUCCUGCAUAUCAAAGUAUACAAAAUUCACACACAACAACCGAUACUGUGGAAUGUGCUGGAGAUAGAAGUAAGCUUACUGGAAAGGAGCAGCAGGUAUGUCAAGUAAUUUUCAACGACAGUCCAUUUUCGAGUUCUCCAUUUGUGUAGGGGAACAAAUAAAUUUUUCAUUUUGUCCUUUAGACUAUAUGAUCCUGAUAUGUUAGGAAGCAGUAUUGCCAUGUCUGUGCCAUGUCUGCGGCCUUUGGUUUAUCUGUUGUUAUAUUUGCCACAACAAAUGAGCAAAGUGAUAAUAUAUACUUCAUCCGUAACGAUUUAUAAGCGAAAAAUCAACAUUUCACACUUAUUAAGAAAUUUUAAAUUUUUGUGUCUUUUUUGAAGUAUGUUUUAUGGAAAGAUGUAAAAACAAUUUUAAUUGGUUGGUGUUUAUGAAAAAUAUGAGAUAGAAAGCUAAUUAAAUACAAUUUGCAUUUAAUUUUACUUUGGAAAAAAUAUCUUUUUUAGAAUAAAAUGCUUAAAUGAAAUAUAAUUGAUGUUUUUUUUGCUUAUAAAUCGUUACGGAGGGAAUAUAUAAUAUAUAUAUAUUAGAUAUAUAUAUAAUAUAUAUAUAUAUAUAUAUAUAUAUUUGCUUCCUACCUUCUGCUAUCUAGUUUAUCAACGCUGUCAUAAACCAAACUUUCUGAAAAAUAAACUCAUUUGGUUAUCUUAUCUUAGAUUUAGAGCCUUACUCAACCCCACAAAAUAAACAAAAUCAACCUGUAAGAUGAGAGAUCUCCUUUUUUUAUAAGCUCUUUUCAGGCAUUAUCUCUAGUUAGUAUGAGACUUGAGUUUUUUCCAAAGCCUUUCAUCUUAAAUUGAGCUGCUAACUUUACUUUCUAGAUUUGUCUGUUAACAUCAUCGUCACUAUAUAUAAUCAUGUCAGGCAUUAUCUCUAGUUAGUAUGAGACUUGAGUUUUUUCCAAAGCCUUUCAUCUUAAAUUGAGCUGCUAACUUUACUUUCUAGAUUUGUCUCUUAACAUCAUCGUCACUAUAUAUAAUCAUGUCAUCCCCAUAGUCUGGUAGAAUAGUGAGUUCACCUUCAUAUCAAUGUUUCAUGAAAAAUGUUUUAACCAAUACACCUGAUUAUUCCCUCCAUCAGUUGAUCCUUAUAGAAGCUUCUGAAUUGUGAUAAGAAUUUGAUUCUUAACUAAAUAAAAAGACUUCACAUGUUUAUAUGUGCCUAAGGUGAAGUUAGUUUUUGGAAAUUUUGAGAUGGUGAUGCUCAUUUCAACAAACUCUAGAUGGCAUUAGUUGGAAGACUCAUAAUCAUUGUAGGAUUAUUUCAUUUUUAUCUUUUUAAGUGCUUGUCGAAAAGUAUAAUCAAAUUGAAUUUUCCCCCUCCAGGUCUCCAUGUAAGUGUGAGUCUUCCCCCACUUUCCCUCUAGAACCAUAAUUCAUAAGUUGAGUUUGAGUCUUUCCUUCUUUAUCUUUAUCCUUUCUUAUGGGUCUCCACUUCCUGUAUUGCCUUAUGGGACCAAAACUUGUAGUGACUUCUGAUGGAACCCACAAAUCUAGUGUUUAUGUUUAUUGAAUGGAAAAUGAGCUAAAGCUCUUACACUACAAUAGUAAAAUGAAAGAUAAACUGUAGAAGAUCCCAAUCUAACCCUAGACCCAAGCUCCUCAGAGAUGAAGAAAUAUCUCUCUCUGCCUAACCAUAAUGGUCUCUUUAGUAUUCUUGCAUAACCAACGGAUUUCACUCACCUUACUAUUUAUACUACUAUGGCAUAACAAACUUGCCAACUAAGCAUCCUACCUCACUCUUUAUUUACCAUAUAUCCUUACCACACUCAUUAUUAAAUAAUACCCCUUUUCCUCAUGACCCCCUACUUGGGUCUCUAUCAACUUAUGAGUUAAAACUUAAAACCAAGACUAAGGACAAUGAACCAAAGUUUGUACACUAGAGGAAACGAAAACCCAAAUUGAUUUAAUUUGCAUGAUUUUCUCUAAAUGGUUCCACACCCUUUACAUAAUCAUGUGCCAAGGAUUUCACCUGUAUCCUUCUCAAAUCCAUCAAAAGAUUUACUCUCUGUUAUUUUAUAUAUAUGCAGAGUUUUAGGCAAACAGAUCAGUUGGAAAUCCAGAAAAAAUCACAGAUAAAACAAGAGGGGAAAGAUUUGCAGGAUUAUAAUGGGAAUUGGUCUUCUUCAGCAACAUCGGCAAGACAAUAUGAGAAUCAAUUGACGCCUCCUGUCUUACAAUCUUUCCCCUCUUCAAUUCUUGGGCAACGGAAGCAACUCCAAGGACCUGAAACACUACAUCAGAACAUCAUAAAUCCAUAUGCAGCACCUUCUGUGUAUGGUAACCUUACUAAUGCAUAUCCUGCUAUGCCAAUGCUAUCACAGAUUCGGUCAGGAAAUCUUAGGCAUCAGCCUGUGCUCUCAGGGUAUGAAACAUCUCCUGGUCCGGUGAAUCCUUUGAAAAGUUAUGCAGGCUCAGUCAAUCCUCAAACUAUGACUCCUCAGGAGAAAAUUGAAAA
rnacentral:lncRNA from 1 species